rnacentral:rRNA from 1 species
GGCCUACCAUGGUGGUAACGGGUAACGGGGUGUUAGGGCACGACUCCGGAGAGGGAGCCUGAGAAACGGCUACCACAUCCAAGGAAGGCAGCAGGCGCGCAAAUUACCCAAUCCCGACACGGGGAGGUAGUGACAAUAAAUAACAAUACGGGGUCCUUUCGGGUCGCGUAAUUGGAAUGAGUACAAUUUAUAUCUCUUAACGAGGAACAAUUGGAGGGCAAGUCUGGUGCCAGCACCCGCGGUAAUUCCAGCUCCAAUAGCGUAUAUUAAAGUUGUUGCAGUUAAAAAGCUCGUAUUUGAAUUUCGGGAUCAUUACGCUGGUCGUACCUUCGGUAUGCGCUGGUGUCGCUGGUUCCUCCCUUCUGACGAACCGUCAUGCCAUUCACUUGGUGUGGCGGGAAAUCACGACUGUUACUUUGAAAAAAUUAGAGUGUUUAAAGCAGGCUCACGCUUGAAUACAUUAGCAUGGAAUAAUGAAAUAGGACGAGGGUUCUAUUUUGUUGGUUUCCGGGACCUUUGUAAUGAUUAAUAGGGAUAGUUGGGGGCAUUCGUAUUCAAUUGUCAAGGUGAAAUUCUUGGAUUUAUUGAAAACGGACUACUGCGAAAGCAUUUGCCAAGGAUGUUUUCAUUAAUCAAGAACGAAAGUUGGGGGAUCGAAACAAUCAGAUACCGUCGUAGUCUCAACCAUAAACUAUGCCAACUGGGAAUCGAGCGAUGUUAUUUUUCAUGACUCGCUCGGCGCCCCGAG